UAAGGAAUAUUGCGCAAUGGGGGAAACCCUGACGCAGCAACGCCGCGUGGAGGAUGACACUUUUCGGAGCGUAAACUCCUUUUAUCAGGCAAGAAUAAUGACGGUACCUGAUGAAUAAGCACCGGCUAACUCCGUGCCAGCAGCCGCGGUAAUACGGGGGGUGCAAGCGUUACUCGGAAUCACUGGGCGUAAAGGACGCGUAGGCGGAUUAUCAAGUCUUUUGUGAAAUCUAGUGGCUUAACCACUAAACUGCUUAGGAAACUGAUAGUCUAGAGUAGGGGAGAGGUAGAUGGAAUUCUUGGUGUAGGGGUAAAAUCCGUAGAGAUCAAGAAGAAUACCCAUUGCGAAAGCGAUCUGCUGGAACCUAACUGACGCUGAGGCGUGAAAGCGUGGGUAGCAAACAGG
rnacentral:rRNA from 1 species